rnacentral:rRNA from 1 species
UACGUAGGGUGCAAGCGUUGUCCGGAAUUAUUGGGCGUAAAGAGCUCGUAGGCGGUUUGUCGCGUCGAAUGUGAAAACCCGGGGCUCAACCCCGGGCCUGCAUUCGAUACGGGCAGACUAGAGUUCGGUAGGGGAGUCUGGAAUUCCUGGUGUAGCGGUGAAAUGCGUAGAUAUCUGGAGGAAUACCGGUGGCGAAGGCGGCAUCCUGGACCAUUUACUGACGCUGAGGCGCGAAAGCUAGGGGAGCAAACGGG